GACGAACGCUGGCGGCGUGCUUAACACAUGCAAGUCGAACGCUGAAGCUUGGUGCUUGCACUGGGUGGAUGAGUGGCGAACGGGUGAGUAAUAAGUGAGUAACCUGCCUUUGACUCUGGGAUAAGCCUGGGAAACCGGGUCUAAUACUGGAUACGACAUGUCACCGCAUGGUGGUGUGUGGAAAGGGUUUUAUUGGUUUUGGAUGGGCUCACGGCUUAUCAGCUUGUUGGUGGGGUAAUGGCUCACCAAGGCGACGACGGGUAGCCGGCCUGAGAGGGUGAACGGCCACACUGGGACUGAGGCACGGCCCAGACUCCUACGGGAGGCAGCAGUGGGGAAUAUUGCACAAUGGGCGGAAGCCUGAUGCAGCGACGCCGCGUGAGGGAUGACGGCCUUCGGGUUGUAAACCUCUUUCAGCACGGAAGAAGCGAAAGUGACGGUACGUGCAGAAGAAGCGCCGGCUAACUACGUG
rnacentral:rRNA from 1 species